rnacentral:tRNA from 1 species
AGACUACGUAGUAUAAUGAGUACCUCUGCCUUCCAAGCAGAAAGUCUUAAUCAUAGAGUAGUAAU